rnacentral:misc_RNA from 1 species
CCGAGUUUACAACUCCCAAACCCCUGUGAACAUACCUAUACGUUGCCUCGGCGGAUCAGCCCGCGCCCGGUAAAACGGGACGGCCCGCCAGAGGACCCCUAAACUCUGUUUCUUAGUGGAACUUCUGAGUAAAACAAUAAAUAAAUCA